GCCACUGCACUCUAGCCUGGAUGACAGAGCAAGACUCCGUCUCAAAAAAAAAAAAAGAAAAAGAUAAGGACUUUAAAUAAAUGUAACCACAAAAACUUUUUUUUUUGAGAUGGAGUCUCGCUGUGUUGCCCAGGCUGGAGUGCAGUGGCGUGAUCUCAGUUCACUGCAACCUCCACCUUCCCAGUUCAAGUGAUUCUCCUGCCUCAGGCUCCUAAGUAGCUGGGAUUACAGGCGUGUAUUUUUAGUAGAGAUGGGGUUUCACCAUGUUAGCCAGGACGGUCUCCAUUUCCUGACCUUGCAAUCCACCCACCUGACCUCCCAAAGUGUUGGGGUUAUAGGCGUGAGCCACCUCACCUGACCUUUUUUUUUUGAGAUGGAGCCUUGCUCUGUUGCCCAGGCUGGAGUUCAAUGGCUCGAUCUCGGCUCACUGCAACCUCUGCCUCCCGGAUUCAAGUGAUUCUCCUGCCUCAGCCUCCUAAGUAGCUGGGAUUAUAGACAUGUGCUACCACACCCGGCUAAUUUUUAUAUUUUUAGUAGAGAUGGGGUUUCACCAUGUUGGCCAGGCUGGCCUUGAACUCCUUACCUCAAGUGAUUUGCCCGCCUUGUCCUCCCAAAGUGCUGGGAUUACAGGCGUGAGCCACCAUGCCCGGCCUAGUUAUUGUUUUUUUAACUCUAAAAGUUAAGUCUACCCUGCCUUCUUCUUUUUUUUUUUUUUUCCACGACAGAGUCUUGCUCAGGCUGGAGUGCAGUGGCAUGAUCUCGGCUCACUGCAACCUCUGCCUCCCAGGUUCAAGCAAUUCUCCUGCCUCAGCCUCCUGAGUAGCUGGUAUUACAGGCAUGCACCAUCACGCCCCACUAAUUUUGUAUUUUUUUAGUAGAGACGGGGUUUUUCCAUGUUGGUCAGGCUGGUCUCAAACUCCCGACCUCAGGUGAUCCGCCCGCCUCGGCCUCCCAAAGUUCUGGGAUUACAGGUGUGAGCCACCGUGCCCGGCUGUUUUUUGUGGGUUUUUUGUUUGUUUGUUUGUUUUUGAGACAGAGUCUUGCUCUGUCACUCAGGCUGGAGUGCAGUGGCACAAUCUCGGCUCACUGCAACCUCUGCCUCCUGAGUUCAAGCCAUUCUCCUGCCUCAGCCCCCUCAGUAGCUGGGAUUACCAGGCACAUAGCACCAUGCCCAGCUAAUGUUUGUAUUUUUAGUAGAGACAGGGUUUCACCAUGUUGACCAGGCUGGUCUUGAACUCCUGACCUCAUGAUCUGCCUGCCGUGGCCUCCCAAAGUGCUGGGAUUAUAGGCAUGAGAGCCUCCGUGCCUGGCUUUUUUUUUUUUUUUUUUUUUUUAAAAGAGGGUCUUGAUAUGUUGCCCAGGCUUGUCUUCAACUCCUGGGUUCAAGUGAUCCUUCCACCUUGGCCUCCCAAAGUGCUGGGAAUAUAGGUGUGAGCUGCCAUGUCCAGCUGUAAGAAAUAUUUUAAAAUAUUUAAGCUUCAGGGCCUUUGAAUACAGGCCCUGAUAACAUAGCUAUUUUCCUGCAUAGUUGUCUAAUAACAAGAUGGUAUAGCCCAGUGCUUCUUGCACUUUAGCAAGCAUCAGAAUCAGCAAAUAUUUAGGUUUCAGGGCCUUUGAAUACAGUCUGAUAACACAGCUAUUUUCCUGCAUAGUUGUCUAAUAACAAGAUGGUAUAGUCCAGUGCUUCCUGCAUGUUGGCAAGCAUCAGAAUCAGCUGCAGGGCUUUUCAAAACAGAUUGCUGGACCCUCCUCCCAACAGAUUCUGAUUCAGUAGUUCUAGUUGGGACCCAGGAAUUUGCAUUUCCAACAGACUCCCAGAUAAUGAUGUUACCGUUCCCAGACCACACUUGCAGAAGCAGUUCAGAAACUUCAGGGGAACAGAAAGUUCCUCCCUCACGGCUUCAAAGUUCCAUGAUCCUGAAAGCAAAAUUUAGCACACAUCACCUUUCUCCUAGUGGCUAAGACUCUCCUGUUCAAACCCUGGAUGUCUUCAGAAAGCAAAUAGAAGGGGAAUAUGAACAGACUGAAGUCAGCAAGGAAAUGACUGACAAGAUGAGGGAGGCCUUUGAAAAGGAAGAAGCCAGCUGGGCGCGGUGGCUCACGCCUGUAAUCCCAGCACUUUGGGAGGCCUAGGCGGGCCGAUCACUUGAGGCCAGGAUUUGUGACCAACCUGGGCAACAUGGUGAAACCCUGUCUCUACUAAAAAAAAAAAAAAUAGCUGGGUGUGGUGGUGAGCGCCUAUAAUCUCAGCUACUCAGGAGGCUGAGGCACUCGCUUGAAUCUGGGAGGUGGAGGUUGCAGUGAGCCGAGAUUGUACGCAUUCCAGCUUGGGCAGCAGAACGAGACUCUGUCUCAAAAAAAAAAAAAAAGCCACGUAGGAAAUUAUCCACAGCAUCAAUUGGACUUGAUCUUGGCUCAGGGACCAGGCCCGGUGCCUUGAUAUUGGUAGAUUUAUUUGCCAUCAGACUAAUGAGCUGGGGACAUUGACUGUUUCCUGGCAACUGAGUCCUCUGAUUGUGUAAACAAUUUGCCUGCAAACAAAACCUGAGUGCUUGAAAGGGUAAGUGAUCCUGAUCUGCCAUAGAAACCUUCAUGCUUAGGGAGUUUCCCUAGCUAAUUCCUCAGCUAAGAUUCUCCCCAGGAGUUUCACUCACCUGUUUCCAGUGCCUCCUUUGGGCUGUCAGCAUCUGUGAUUCCACAUUCCCCAGAGGGAGAUUCCUCCCCAAAGCUGGUUGUAUUUACUGCCAGUCCUGGGCUGUAGCCAGGGCAGUCUUUGAACACAUUAUCAAGAAUACUUUUUAAAAUAAAAGUCUGUUUCGACUUCCA
rnacentral:lncRNA from 1 species